rnacentral:snRNA from 2 species
GUGCUCGCCCGGGCAGCAUGUGUACUAAAACUGUGGCACAGAGAAGAUGAGCAGAAGAUUAGCACGGCCCCUGCACAAGAUAACAGGCAAAUUCAUGAAGCAAUCCAUAUUUUA